AACCUGCCCAAGAGAUCGGGAUAACACCUGGAAACAGAUGCUAAUACCGGAUAACAACAGAUGAUGCCUAUCAACUGUUUAAAAGAUGGUUCUGCUAUCACUCUUGGAUGGACCUGCGGUGCAUUAGCUAGUUGGUAGGGUAACGGCCUACCAAAGCGAUGAUGCAUAGCCGAGUUGAGAGACUGAUCGGCCACAUUGGGACUGAGACACGGCCCAAACUCCUACGGGAGGCAGCAGGG
rnacentral:rRNA from 1 species